UGGGUCCUUUCUCAAAGCUGA
rnacentral:piRNA from 1 species